UGGGAGCACAGGUUUACCUGUGUGACUGCGUACCUUUUGUAUAAUGGGUCAGCGACUUAUAUUCUGUAGCAAGGUUAACCGAAUAGGGGAGCCGGAGGGAAACCGAGUCUUAAUUGGGCGUUAAGUUGCAGGGUAUAGACCCGAAACCCGGUGAUCUAGCCAUGGGCAGGUUGAAGGUUGGGUAACACUAACUGGAGGACCGAACCGACUAAUGUUGAAAAAUUAGCGGAUGACCUGUGGCUGGGGGUGAAAGGCCAAUCAAACCGGGAGAUAGCUGGUUCUCCCCGAAAGCUAUUUAGGUAGCGCCUCGUGAAUUCAUCUCCGGGGGUAGAGCACUGUUUCGGCUAGGGGGCCAUCCCGGCUUACCAACCCGAUGCAAACUGCGAAUACCGGAGAAUGUUAUCACGGGAGACACACGGCGGGUGCUAACGUCCGUCGUGAAGAGGGAAACAACCCAGACCGCCAGCUAAGGUCCCAAAGUCAUGGUUAAGUGGGAAACGAUGUGGGAAGGCCCAGACAGCCAGGAUGUUGGCUUAGAAGCAGCCAUCAUUUAAAGAAAGCGUAAUAGCUCACUGGUCGAGUCGGCCUGCGCGGAAGAUGUAACGGGGCUAAACCAUGCACCGAAGCUGCGGCAGCGACACUGUGUGUUGUUGGGUAGGGGAGCGUUCUGUAAGCCUGUGAAGGUGUGUCGUGAGGCAUGCUGGAGGUAUCAGAAGUGCGAAUGCUGACAUAAGUAACGAUAAAGCGGGUGAAAAGCCCGCUCGCCGGAAGACCAAGGGUUCCUGUCCAACGUUAAUCGGGGCAGGGUGAGUCGACCCCUAAGGCGAGGCCGAAAGGCGUAGUCGAUGGGAAACGGGUUAAUAUUCCCGUACUUGGUGUUACUGCGAAGGGGGGACGGAGAAGGCUAUGUUGGCCGGGCGACGGUUGUCCCGGUUUAAGCGUGUAGGUGUGUGUUCCAGGUAAAUCCGGUUCACUUUAACACUGAGGCGUGACGACGAGGCACUACGGUGCUGAAGCAACAAAUGCCCUGCUUCCAGGAAAAGCCUCUAAGCAUCAGGUAACAUCAAAUCGUACCCCAAACCGACACAGGUGGUCAGGUAGAGAAUACCAAGGCGCUUGAGAGAACUCGGGUGAAGGAACUAGGCAAAAUGGUGCCGUAACUUCGGGAGAAGGCACGCUGACACGUAGGUGAAGUGAUUUACUCAUGGAGCUGAAGUCAGUCGAAGAUACCAGCUGGCUGCAACUGUUUAUUAAAAACACAGCACUGUGCAAACACGAAAGUGGACGUAUACGGUGUGACGCCUGCCCGGUGCCGGAAGGUUAAUUGAUGGGGUCAGCGCAAGCGAAGCUCCUGAUCGAAGCCCCGGUAAACGGCGGCCGUAACUAUAACGGUCCUAAGGUAGCGAAAUUCCUUGUCGGGUAAGUUCCGACCUGCACGAAUGGCGUAAUGAUGGCCAGGCUGUCUCCACCCGAGACUCAGUGAAAUUGAACUCGCUGUGAAGAUGCAGUGUACCCGCGGCAAGACGGAAAGACCCCGUGAACCUUUACUAUAGCUUGACACUGAACAUUGAGCCUUGAUGUGUAGGAUAGGUGGGAGGCUUUGAAGUGUGGACGCCAGUCUGCAUGGAGCCGACCUUGAAAUACCACCCUUUAAUGUUUGAUGUUCUAACGUGGACCCGUUACCCGGGUUGCGGACAGUGUCUGGUGGGUAGUUUGACUGGGGCGGUCUCCUCCUAAAGAGUAACGGAGGAGCACGAAGGUUGGCUAAUCCUGGUCGGACAUCAGGAGGUUAGUGCAAUGGCAUAAGCCAGCUUGACUGCGAGCGUGACGGCGCGAGCAGGUGCGAAAGCAGGUCAUAGUGAUCCGGUGGUUCUGAAUGGAAGGGCCAUCGCUCAACGGAUAAAAGGUACUCCGGGGAUAACAGGCUGAUACCGCCCAAGAGUUCAUAUCGACGGCGGUGUUUGGCACCUCGAUGUCGGCUCAUCACAUCCUGGGGCUGAAGUAGGUCCCAAGGGUAUGGCUGUUCGCCAUUUAAAGUGGUACGCGAGCUGGGUUUAGAACGUCGUGAGACAGUUCGGUCCCUAUCUGCCGUGGGCGCUGGAGAACUGAGGGGGGCUGCUCCUAGUACGAGAGGACCGGAGUGGACGCAUCACUGGUGUUCGGGUUGUCAUGCCAAUGGCACUGCCCGGUAGCUAAAUGCGGAAGAGAUAAGUGCUGAAAGCAUCUAAGCACGAAACUUGCCCCGAG
rnacentral:rRNA from 1 species